CCGCCAGCUAAGGUCCCAAAGUCAUGGUUAAGUGGGAAACGAUGUGGGAAGGCCCAGACAGCCAGGAUGUUGGCUUAGAAGCAGCCAUCAUUUAAAGAAAGCGUAAUAGCUCACUGGUCGAGUCGGCCUGCGCGGAAGAUGUAACGGGGCUAAACCAUGCACCGAAGCUGCGGCAGCGACGCUUAUGCGUUGUUGGGUAGGGGAGCGUUCUGUAAGCCUGUGAAGGUGGCCUGUGAGGGUUGCUGGAGGUAUCAGAAGUGCGAAUGCUGACAUAAGUAACGAUAAAGCGGGUGAAAAGCCCGCUCGCCGGAAGACCAAGGGUUCCUGUCCAACGUUAAUCGGGGCAGGGUGAGUCGACCCCUAAGGCGAGGCCGAAAGGCGUAGUCGAUGGGAAACAGGUUAAUAUUCCUGUACUUGGUGUUACUGCGAAGGGGGGACGGAGAAGGCUAUGUUGGCCGGGCGACGGUUGUCCCGGUUUAAGCGUGUAGGCUGGUUUUCCAGGCAAAUCCGGAAAAUCAAGGCUGAGGCGUGAUGACGAGGCACUACGGUGCUGAAGCGACAAAUGCCCUGCUUCCAGGAAAAGCCUCUAAGCAUCAGGUAACAUUAAAUCGUACCCCAAACCGACACAGGUGGUCAGGUAGAGAAUACCAAGGCGCUUGAGAGAACUCGGGUGAAGGAACUAGGCAAAAUGGUGCCGUAACUUCGGGAGAAGGCACGCUGAUAUGUAGGUGAAGCGACUUGCUCGUGGAGCUGAAAUCAGUCGAAGAUACCAGCUGGCUGCAACUGUUUAUUAAAAACACAGCACUGUGCAAACACGAAAGUGGACGUAUACGGUGUGACGCCUGCCCGGUGCCGGAAGGUUAAUUGAUGGGGUUAGCGGUAACGCGAAGCUCUUGAUCGAAGCCCCGGUAAACGGCGGCCGUAACUAUAACGGUCCUAAGGUAGCGAAAUUCCUUGUCGGGUAAGUUCCGACCUGCACGAAUGGCGUAAUGAUGGCCAGGCUGUCUCCACCCGAGACUCAGUGAAAUUGAACUCGCUGUGAAGAUGCAGUGUACCCGCGGCAAGACGGAAAGACCCCGUGAACCUUUACUAUAGCUUGACACUGAACAUUGAGCCUUGAUGUGUAGGAUAGGUGGGAGGCUUUGAAGUGUGGACGCCAGUCUGCAUGGAGCCGACCUUGAAAUACCACCCUUUAAUGUUUGAUGUUCUAACGUGGGCCCCUUACCGGGGUUGCGGACAGUGUCUGGUGGGUAGUUUGACUGGGGCGGUCUCCUCCUAAAGAGUAACGGAGGAGCACGAAGGUUGGCUAAUCCUGGUCGGACAUCAGGAGGUUAGUGCAAUGGCAUAAGCCAGCUUGACUGCGAGCGUGACGGCGCGAGCAGGUGCGAAAGCAGGUCAUAGUGAUCCGGUGGUUCUGAAUGGAAGGGCCAUCGCUCAACGGAUAAAAGGUACUCCGGGGAUAACAGGCUGAUACCGCCCAAGAGUUCAUAUCGACGGCGGUGUUUGGCACCUCGAUGUCGGCUCAUCACAUCCUGGGGCUGAAGUAGGUCCCAAGGGUAUGGCUGUUCGCCAUUUAAAGUGGUACGCGAGCUGGGUUUAGAACGUCGUGAGACAGUUCGGUCCCUAUCUGCCGUGGGCGCUGGAGAACUGAGGGGGGCUGCUCCUAGUACGAGAGGACCGGAGUGGACGCAUCACUGGUGUUCGGGUUGUCAUGCCAAUGGCACUGCCCGGUAGCUAAAUGCGGAAGAGAUAAGUGCUGAAAGCAUC
rnacentral:rRNA from 1 species